GAAGAGAAGAGAAGAGAAGAGAAGAGGGUUGUGGAGAUGAAAGCAGUGAAUGAGCAGCUGCAUGGUACUUCGUGUGUCUGGGGUUAAACCACAACUGAAUUACGAAUAAUUCACCCUUAUGUUGCCAGCCCAGAUCCACCUGAGCCACUUCAGCCUUAGCAGCCUGAUCCACCUUCUGGAUGUUGUUCUGCUCUUCAGUAUCCUGGGUUAACCCACAACAAUGGCCUUACAUUGUAUUGGACCACUGCAUGACAAGAGCGAGAAAAUCUUAGGAAUCCCUGUGGUGACCACAUCAAUGUCAGCUUUCUAACUAUGCAAUUUGAACUGAUUUCCCAUACUUCCUUACUUCCACUCCUACUUAAGGAGGACAGAUGCAUCUCUGUGACCUGCUUUGACAGACAUUUAAGUGUUCUUCUUUGUUGUUUUUUCGUGUGUCUUGCCAUCCUUACCAAAGCUGAAAUCUCAAUAUCCCAGUAGAGCAGCUGGAGGCUGACAAGCUAUUACAGCAAACAAAUACUGUCACAAAAUUAAACUAUAGUGCUAAGGUUUAUAUGGAGGAAUGUGUUUCUAUCACUUGAUAAGAUGCAGAUUCAUCCUAUGCAAAUCGUACUAACACUGUUUUCUCCUUGAAAAAUACCUGUUCACUUUCUCCAUUCCGUCUAUCCUGACUGAUAAAACCACAAAUCUCAUUGUUUUCCCAAAGCAAUCAGCUUUCAGAUAUUUCAGUUACAGCCAAGAAGCUUUUAUUCUACCAAGUGUCUGAAAAAAAAAAGAUAAAAGUAAAACUACUUUUUGAAAACUUAUAUGGUGAAGAUACCAUUAAAUGAAUUAACAUCUUCUUAAUUUUCCCUAAUAUUUAGACAUUAUCUGUCACAGCACAAGUUUCUUCUUUCUAAAUUUCACUAACACCCUACCUCUCUCAGAUAAGGCAUAAAUUAGUCCUUCUUGCCUGAUCUUGUGUGUGUUCAUGUAAAUACACUGCUUUAUUUUGUAAAGUCUGUUGAUAAAAUGUGUCAUUUAUGCUCUGCCACUGUUCCAUUCAAACUCAAACCAUGUGUCUUUUAGCCUUUAGUGAUUGCAAGCUUAGCUGUAAGUGACCAUAGUAAUUGGUAAUAUCAGAGUCUGAUUCACUGGCUACCUCUCACUGUAUUAUUACCCAGAGCAAAAAAACCCACAUGAAAUCUACUCAUCAAAUUGGAGCCCUAUUUAAAUAAUGACAGGGAUCUCACUCUCUUGUGCAGGGGCCUUUCAAGUCAUUCUGCGUCUGCUAACGUAGUUUUUGCAUUCUAAUUUUAGGUAUUAACCACAUGGCUGAGAGGAGAGGAUUUUCUUUUUCAACUCCUACGGCACUGUGUGCUUUUUUCCCAAGUACUUCCUGCUGUAGUUAUUAUCAGUGGAGCUGAACCAGUUGGAAUGGGGGGUGGAAGUGUUG